CAAUUCAGAGGGUCAUUCUCUUGCUAGGGCCCUGGUUAAAGUAAUGAUUGAUAACCCGCUAGAGGUCCCUCGUAGUUUAGUUAUCAAGCACGGGAAAGAAUUGGGUGGGGUUGGAAAAUCUUGGACUGUCCCGGUCUAUAUGUUCAACUCUGAGUAGGUUGAUAUUGGGCCUACUAAUGAAGAGGAUCCCCCAGCCAACAAUGGGAAUCCUCAUCCAUUUGAGGGUCCAGUAGUGCCAGGCAGUGGCGGAGCCAGAAACAAAGCAUAGGAGGGGCCAAUUUGCCAAUUAAACCCAUAAGUACAU
rnacentral:lncRNA from 1 species